rnacentral:rRNA from 1 species
CUAAGGCGAGGCAGAAAUGCGUAGUCGAUGGGAAACAGGUUAAUAUUCCUGUACCUUAAUACAAUGCGAUGUGGGGACGGAGAAGGUUAGGCAAGCCAAGUGUUGGACGCCUUGGUUUAAGCGUGUAGGGAGAUCUCUUAGGCAAAUCCGGGAGGUCAAUUCUGAGACGUGAUGACGAGUGCCUUAUGGCGCGAAGUUGCUGAUACCAAGCUUCCAAGAAAAGCCACUAAGCUUCAGUUGUAUUGAGACCGUACCGCAAACCGACACAGGUGGGCAGGAUGAGAAUUCUAAGGCGCUUGAGAGAACUCGGGUGAAGGAACUCGGCAAAUUUGCACCGUAACUUCGGGAGAAGGUGCGCCCCGGUAGAGUGUAGGACUUCGCGUCCGAAGCUCGAUGGGGUUGCAGUGAAAUGGUGGCUGCGACUGUUUAAUAAAAACACAGCACUCUGCAAACACGAAAGUGGACGUAUAGAGUGUGACUCCUGCCCGGUGCCGGAAGGUUAAAUGAUGGGGUGCAAGCUCUUGAUUGAAGCCCCGGUAUACGGCGGCCGUAACUAUAACGGUCCUAAGGUAGCGAAAUUCCUUGUCGGGUAAGUUCCGACCUGCACGAAUGGAGUAACGAUGGCCACACUGUCUCCACCCGAGACUCAGCGAAGUUGAAAUGUUUGUGAAGAUGCAAUCUACCCGCGGCUAGACGGAAAGACCCCAUGCACCUUUACUGUAGCUUUGCAUUGGAUUUUGAGCAGAUUUGUGUAGGAUAGGUGGGAGGCUUUGAAGCGGUGUCGCCAGACGUCGUGGAGCCAACCUUGAAAUACCACCCUGAUGUGUUUGAGGUUCUAACCUAGGUCCGUAAUCCGGAUCGGGGACAUUGCAUGGUAGGCAGUUUGACUGGGGCGGUCUCCUCCCAAAGAGUAACGGAGGAGUACGAAGGUAUCCUAGGUACGGUCGGACAUCGUACUGAUAGUGCAAUGGCAAAAGGAUGCUUGACUGCGAGACUGACAAGUCGAGCAGGUGCGAAAGCAGGUCAUAGUGAUCCGGUGGUUCUGUAUGGAAGGGCCAUCGCUCAACGGAUAAAAGGUACGCUGGGGAUAACAGGCUGAUUCCUCCCAAGAGUUCAUAUCGACGGGGGAGUUUGGCACCUCGAUGUCGGCUCAUCACAUCCUGGGGCUGUAGUCGGUCCCAAGGGUAUGGCUGUUCGCCAUUUAAAGUGGUACGUGAGCUGGGUUUAAAACGUCGUGAGACAGUUUGGUCCCUAUCUGCCGUGGGCGCUGGAAAUUUGAAGGGACCUGCUCCUAGUACGAGAGGACCGGAGUGGACGGAUCUCUGGUGUACCGGUUAUGACGCCAGUCGUAUUGCCGGGUAGCUAAAUCCGGAAGAGAUAACCGCUGAAAGCAUCUAAGCGGGAAACUCGCCUUAAGAU